UAUAUAAUUUCAACGCUCUUCAAUUCCUCCCACGCACAAAAACUCUUCUUCACAACUCAUUCUCAUUCUCUCUGUUCUCUAAUUUCUCUCUUCCCAUCUCAUACAAUUCAUCCUUGUCUCUUCCAACCUUAAAUCUUAAAGUUCAAUUUUCUCACCAUCAUCCAAUUCAUUCAAAGCUCUAAAUUCUCACAACAGAUAUGAUGAAGAGGUAAUUAAGGGUUGUUACUUGUGAGUGCAAUUCAAAGAUGAGUGGGCAUGGUGGGCAUAAAUGGGCUUAGCACUAGGCUUUGAUUUGUGGGUCCAAUGUGAAUCAUUGCAUUUGCAUCGUGGCUUGCAAUAACCAUCACAAGAAAGCAACAAAAUGUGGACCCAAUAUAUGUUCUUUAGUAACUAGGGCUUCCUUUGUUAAUAGGAUACCCGUUGCUACAACUAUUAUUAUUAUUAUUAUUAUUAUUAUUAUUAUUAUUA